rnacentral:rRNA from 1 species
UUCCGGUUGAUCCUGCCGGAAAAUUGGAGUCAACGCCGGGCUUCCGGUUGAUCCUGCCGGAAUUGGAGUCAACGCCGGAUUUCCGGUUGAUCCCGCCGGAGGUUACUGCUAUCGAGGUUCGACUAAGCCAUGCGAGUCGAAUGUAGCAAUACAUGGCGAACUGCUCAGUAACACGUGGACAACCUGCCCUUAGGACGGGGAUAAACCCGGGAAACUGGGUAUAAUACCCGAUAGGUCUCGAUUGCUGGAAUGCAUCGAGAUUUAAAGCUCCGGCGCCUAAGGAUGGGUCUGCGGCCUAUCAGGUAGUAGUGGGUGUAGCGUACCUACUAGCCUACGACGGGUACGGGUUGUGAGAGCAAGAGCCCAGAGAUGGAUUCUGAGACACGAAUCCAGGCCCUACGGGGUGCAGUAGGCGCGAAAACUUUACAAUGCUGGCAACAGCGAUAAGGGAACCUCGAGUGCCAGGUUACAAAUCUGGCUAUCGAGAUGCCUAAAAAGCAUUUCAUAGCAAGGGCCGGGCAAGACCGGUGCCAGCCGCCGCGGUAACACCGGCGGCUCGAGUGGUAACCGUUAUUAUUGGGUCUAAAGGGUCUGUAGCCGGCCGGAUAAGUCUCUUGAGAAAUCUGGCAGCUUAACUGUCAGGCUUUCAGGAGAUACUGUCUGGCUCGAGGCCGGGAGAGGUGAGAGGUACUUCAGGGGUAGGGGUGAAAUCUUGUAAUCCUUGAAGGACCACCAGUGGCGAAGGCGUCUCACCAGAACGGACCUGACGGCAAGGGACGAAAGCUAGGGGCACGAACCGGAUUAGAUACCCGGGUAGUCCUAGCCGUAAACGAUACUCGCUAGGUGUCGGCCACGGUGCGACCGUUGUCGGUGCCGUAGGGAAGCCGUGAAGCGAGCCACCUGGGAAGUACGGCCGCAAGGCUGAAACUUAAAGGA